UACGGGGGGGGCUAGCGUUGUUCGGAAUUACUGGGCGUAAAGGGCUCGUAGGCGGCCAACUAAGUCAGACGUGAAAUCCCUCGGCUUAACCGGGGAACUGCGUCUGAUACUGGAUGGCUUGAGUUUGGGAGAGGGAUGCGGAAUUCCAGGUGUAGCGGUGAAAUGCGUAGAUAUCUGGAGGAACACCGGUGGCGAAGGCGGCAUCCUGGACCAACACUGACGCUGAGGAGCGAAAGCCAGGGGAGCAAACGGG
rnacentral:rRNA from 1 species